rnacentral:rRNA from 1 species
UACAGAGGGUGCAAGCGUUAAUCGGAAUUACUGGGCGUAAAGCGUGCGUAGGUGGUUUACUAAGUCAGGUGUGAAAUCCCCGGGCUCAACCUGGGAACUGCGCUUGAUACUGGUAAACUAGAGUUUAGUAGAGGGAAGUGGAAUUCCACGUGUAGCGGUGAAAUGCGUAGAUAUGUGGAGGAACGCCAGUGGCGAAGGCGGCUAACUGGACCAUUCUUGACGCUGAGGUACGAAAGCGUGGGGAGCAAACAGG